GACGAACGCUGGCGGCGUGCUUAACACAUGCCAGUCGAACGAUGAAGAAAAGAAUUGAAGCUUCGGCAGAAAUUCAUUUCGGAUUAGUGGCAGACGGGUGAGUAACGCGUGAGCAACCUACCUCUUACAAAGGGAUAGCCUCGGGAAACCGGGAUUAAUACCAUAUAACAUUGCGACGAAGCAUUUCGAUGCAAUCAAAGCUACGGCGGUAAGAGAUGGGCUCGCGUCCCAUUAACCAGAUGGUGAGGUAACGGCUCACCAUAGUAACGAUGGGUAACCGGCCUGAGAGGGUGAACGGUCACACUGGAACUGAGACACGGUCCAGACUCCUACGGGAGGCAGCAGUGGGGAAUAUUGCACAAUGGAGUGAACUCUGAUGCAGCGACGCCGCGUGAGUGAUGAAGGAAUUCGUUUCGUAAAACUCUGUUCUAUGGGAAGAAAAGGACUGUACCAUAGGAGAAAGCUCCGGCUAAAUACGUG
rnacentral:rRNA from 1 species